rnacentral:rRNA from 1 species
UACGUAGGGGGCAAGCGUUGUCCGGAUUUAUUGGGCGUAAAGAGCGUGUAGGCGGCCAGAUAGGUCAGCUGUGAAAACUCGAGGCUCAACCUCGAGAUGUCGGCUGAAACCAUCUGGCUAGAGUCCGGAAGAGGAGAAUGGAAUUCCCGGUGUAGCGGUGAAAUGCGCAGAUAUCGGGAAGAACACCCGUGGCGAAGGCGGUUCUCUGGGACGGUACUGACGCUGGAGACGCGAAAGCGUGGGGAGCGAACAGG